AGUGGCGGACGGGUGAGUAACGCGUGAGAAUCUGCCUUGGGGUCGGGGACAACCACUGGAAACGGUGGCUAAUACCGGAUAAGCCGAUUGGUGAAAGAUUUAUUGCCCGAAGAGGAGCUCGCGUCUGAUUAGCUAGUUGGUGAGGUAAGAGCUCACCAAGGCAGCGAUCAGUAGCUGGUCUGAGAGGACGAUCAGCCACACUGGGACUGAGACACGGCCCAGACUCCUACGGGAGGCAGCAGUGGGGAAUUUUCCGCAAUGGGCGAAAGCCUGACGGAGCAAGACCGCGUGAGGGAGGAAGGCUCUUGGGUUGUAAACCUCUUUUCUCAGGGAAGAAGCUCUGACGGUACCUGAGGAAUCAGCCUCGGCUAACUCCGUGCCAGCAGCAGCGGUAAUACGGAGGAGGCAAGCGUUAUCCGGAAUUAUUGGGCGUAAAGCGUCCGCAGGUGGCGAUUCAAGUCUGCUGUCAAAGCACGGGGCUUAACUCCGUAAAGGCAGUGGAAACUGAAUAGCUAGAGUGCCGUAGGGGUAGAGGGAAUUCCCGGUGUAGCGGUGAAAUGCGUAGAGAUCGGGAAGAACAUCGGUGGCGAAAGCGCUCUACUGGACGGCAACUGACACUCAGGGACGAAAGCUAGGGGAGCGAAUGGGAUUAGAUACCCC
rnacentral:rRNA from 1 species